rnacentral:rRNA from 1 species
UACAGAGGGUGCAAGCGUUGUUCGGAAUUAUUGGGCGUAAAGCGCACGUAGGCGGCUUCGUAAGUCGGAUGUGAAAGCCCAGGGCUCAACCUUGGAAGUGCAUUCGAAACUGUGAAGCUAGAGUUUCGGAGAGGGUGGUGGAAUUCCCAGUGUAGAGGUGAAAUUCGUAGAUAUUGGGAGGAACAUCAGUGGCGAAGGCGACCACCUGGACGAAAACUGACGCUGAGGUGCGAAAGCGUGGGUAGCAAACAGG